rnacentral:rRNA from 1 species
GUGUCAGCAGCCGCGGUAAUACGGAGGGAGCUAGCGUUGUUCGGAAUUACUGGGCGUAAAGCGCACGUAGGCGGCUAUUCAAGUCGGGGGUGAAAGCCCGGGGCUCAACCCCGGAACUGCCCUCGAAACUAGGUAGCUAGAAUCUUGGAGAGGCGAGUGGAAUUCCGAGUGUAGAGGUGAAAUUCGUAGAUAUUCGGAAGAACACCAGUGGCGAAGGCGACUCGCUGGACAAGUAUUGACGCUGAGGUGCGAAAGCGUGGGGAGCAAACAGGAUUAGAAACCCCCGUAGUCC